GAGGUCCUACGGGGCGCAGCAGUGGGGAAUAUUGGGCAAUGGGCGCAAGCCUGACCCAGCAACGCCGCGUGAAGGAAGAAGGCUUUAGGGUUGUAAACUUCUUUUCUCAGGGACGAAGAAAGUGACGGUACCUGAGGAAUAAGCCACGGCUAACUACGUGCCAGCAGCCGCGGUAAUACGUAGGUGGCAAGCGUUAUCCGGAUUUAUUGGGUGUAAAGGGCGUGAAGGCGGGAGGGGAAGGCAG
rnacentral:rRNA from 1 species